GGUGGCUUAGUGGUAGAGCAUUUGCCUUGCAUGCAUGAGGACCUGGGUUUGAUUCCUCAGUACCA
rnacentral:tRNA from 1 species